UUUCAUCUGAAGAUCCCUGCCUGAGCACCUUACAGGCCUUCCAAAAUUAACAGGAACUCGUGUUGUGUAUAACUGAGCUGCGGGUCUCCGAACCAUCUGAAAGUCAGAUGACUUGCUUGGGAUCUUAAAUUUCAGCUGAGAUGUAAUUUUGUGGCAUGAAGCUUACAGAAGGACCAGAGUUUAAAUAUGGAUGCCAGAGCCUGAGUGUUGUUUGAAAAUUCAGAUCAUAAUUCAGAAGCUGAAGAUGUAGCAAGCAUGUGUGCCAAAUAUCGUCGUAACUAAUGCUUUUGAUGUAACGUAAUGUAUUCUGGGAAUUUAUGAGAGUUUGAGGGACUAAGGCUGCUGAUGUUAUCUGUUAUAGAAAGACAGAACAAAAUGUGAUUGUUUUUAAAGAAAACAGCAAUUACAAUUAAAGAAGGGUGUAGAAAAUCCUUCUACAAUACGUGAUAUGUGGUGCAGUCCUGGAAGUAGAAACAUUAUUAUAAACAUAGAUGUAUUUUUAAGCUAUUGUACAUUUCAUGUGAUGCUUAGUAUAACUAAUCUGAUUUUUUUUUCCUGAAAAUAAUUGAUGUAUACUGCUGAAAUACAUAUUUUCUCUGCUGGGAUGAAUUAAAGAAAAAAGGCAGAAGAAUGUAGUUCAUAAAAUAAGAGGAAAAAUCUGUUCAUUUCUAAAGGUAUUUCUUUAGUUCAAUGCGCUGCUUGAAAUUUGCCUCCCCCCCCCCCCCCCCCCCCCCCCCCAAAAAAAAAGGGCUAAUUAUGUUUUCCCAGUAAACAUGGAACAAAAACUUACUUAUUUUCUCUAAGCAAAGCACUGAUUCAAAUUUCUCCUUGAAUACUUAAGGUUUUCAGACAUUAUCUUGUCCAAAAGCUUCAAAUUAGCACUAAUGUACUUGACAUUCUGACUGGAGAUCUUGAAUAGAGACCAAGCUACGGAUUUUAUGAGGUUCAUACCUUAAAAAUUGUGUUACUAUUCUGCUGUCUGAAAGAUUCUAUUUUUGUAAUUAUGCUUAUUUUUAUACGAUAUGAAGUCCUAAGUCAGUCAUUUAAGCUGAAAUGAGAAAUUAAUAAUUAGCUGGUAGAUUUGGAAUCGCUGGAGAUCGAAUUUUAGACAGAGGCAAAUACAAAGCAGGUAUUUGACAGCUUAUUAUUUUGACUGCAACAGUAAUAGCGAUCUGGUUGCAGAAAUAUGCUUUAGUUAAUAUGAAUGGAUUUACCAAUUUUUUUAACUCUUAGUUUUUGGAAAAAUCUGUUUUGGAGAAAAGCAUUUUCUUACUUUCUUGUGAUUUUCUUUUCAGUGUGUCCAAUCUGGCUACUUACACUAGUAAAAAUAUUCUAUAAGCAAGUCGAAGACAUACUAAAAUUGUAUUUUGUAUCAUAUAUAAUUCAAUGUGAUUUCUUUCAUUAAAAAUGUUAUUUGGGAGUUAAAUAUCAUGACUGAAAUGAAUAAGUUCGAUUCAAACAGAUGUGUAAUAUACGAAGAUAAAGGAAAAAUAAAAGCUCAUUUUUGU
ensembl:lncRNA